GAAAGAAAGAAAGAAAAGAAAGAAAGAAAGAAAGAAAGAAAGAAAGAAAGAAAGAAAGAAAGAAAGAAAGAAAGAAAGAAAGAAAGAAAGAAAGGAAAGAAGGAAGAGAGAGAAAGAGAGAGAAAGAAAGAAAGAAAGAAAGGAAAGAAGGAAGAGAGAGAAAGAGAGAGAGAGAGAGAAAGAAAGAAAGUAGGGGAAAUAGAUGAGGCAGAGCUUUUGCACAUCACUAAAUGGAGCUUUGGAGCAAGAACUUGGGGUCAGAUAAGGAAUCAGAUACAUUGAGCAAUGCUGGGGGGGAGAAGCAGAGCAGGAUUUGGCAAAGGACAGCACAAGGAGAUGUUUACGAGUUUGCUGAUGAGCAUUUCCAGUGCUCCUUGCAGUUCCUUCUGCGUGAAAGACACAGAUGGGCAGAAAGGUCUCACUGGUGUAAGCAGAGCCUGCUGGUUACGGAGCCUGUGAUGCCCAUUGCCUCUUGCGUGCUGCACAGUCCCAAAGCAAGGGCAGGCACUGGGCUUUCCCCCUAGCCACUGGGGUCAGACACCCUCCACUGCAGGGCCACACUAGCAUUCAAAGAAGUGGAUGAGUGUGGGUCCAUGCUGGUGAGGGGCAGCGGCUGGCAGCAGCUGACGCUGCUGGCAGGGACUUCUGUGGAUGCCCUCCACCUGACAAGUGCAGCCUUGCCUGCAGAGCACAGCCCACAUCUCCCCGGUAAGAUGGGCUGCUGCUGCAGAGGAGAUCACAGUUGGGGUACUGAGGCUUCUGGAUGUUUACUUUGCCCCAGUUUUCAUUCUCCAGCAGCCUUCUUGGAUGAUGCAGGAGCUUCUUCUAGAAAGAGGCUGGGGCCAGGUGGAACAUGAGAGGUGAUGGAGGAGGAAGCAGGUGGAAAAACUCAGUUUUGUGUGGAUGGGAAGUUAGUGUUAUUUCACUGCCUUGCUGAUCUGCUAACUUUGAUCGUGUGCUACUCCAGUGCAGCCUCAGAGCCAAGUCUUCUCUCUGCCACGUGGAUUUUUCCUGCUGUUCUCCUUGGUUUGAGCAGUGUGCAUGUCUUCACAUGGACUUGGGCAGUGUCUUUCCCAUGCUACUAACUGGGAUACAGGAUCAGCUUUCUUACACAAGCAAUGCCGUGAUGUUCCCCUGCUUUCUGUUUCUUUAUGUUCACAUUAUGGUCAGUUCUGCCAGUACUAACAGCCUAUUCCUCUCUCAAGUUUAUUAGCAAGUACUGGGACUCCGUAAAGUGAGUGGGAAUCCCGCUGCCUAUAGAGGUACACAGAUACUAACCUUGGGGCUCUCACCUCUUGCAUGUACGUGGAGGGGGGCGCAGAAGGGGACUGCAUGUGGGUGUAUCCUCCUGGAGAACUCCAGCAAGAACUGCUGGAGAAACCUGCUUUUGAUAUUUGUGUGAUUUUUUUUUUCUUUCUUGCUCUUUUUUUGUUUUGUUUUGUUUUGUUUUUUGGUUGUCUUGUUCCUCUCUCCUGAUUUACUGCAUAUGCUCACGUGGCCUUGGAAAGGGGGCUUCUCAAACCG
rnacentral:lncRNA from 1 species